AAUGUAAUUCUUACAACAUUAAUGCAUCAGAUCCCAUUAGAAAUCCACAGUUAAACGCGCUUGGGCUAGAGUAGUACUGGGAUGGGUGACCUCCUGAGAAGUCUUAGUGUUUUACAUGC
rfam:Picea glauca, whole genome shotgun sequence.